rnacentral:rRNA from 1 species
UAGGGAAUCUUCGGCAAUGGACGAAAGUCUGACCGAGCAACGCCGCGUGAGUGAAGAAGGUUUUCGGAUCGUAAAACUCUGUUGUUAGAGAAGAACAAUGACGUUAGUAACUGAACGUCCCCUGACGGUAUCUAACCAGAAAGCCACGGCUAACUACGUGCCAGCAGCCGCGGUAAUACGUAGGUGGCAAGCGUUGUCCGGAUUUAUUGGGCGUAAAGCGAGCGCAGGCGGUUUCUUAAGUCUGAUGUGAAAGCCCCUGGCUCAACCGGGGAGGGUCAUUGGAAACUGGGAGACUUGAGUGCAGAAGAGGAGAGUGGAAUUCCAUGUGUAGCGGUGAAAUGCGUAGAUAUAUGGAGGAACACCAGUGGCGAAGGCGGCUCUCUGGUCUGUAACUGACGCUGAGGCUCGAAAGCGUGGGGAGCAAACAGG